rnacentral:lncRNA from 10 species
GGCACAGCAGUUUCACUAGAAAACACCAACCACCAAGUCCUCCUCUCUGCUUACCACUGGUUCUCAAAAAUACCCAGGUGGGGCCCAUCCAGACUAAUAGAAUCUGAAUUGCUGAAAGUGAAACUCAGGUUUCCUAGUUUUAAAAACUCCCCAGGAGAUUCUAAUGGGAAAUUAAGGUUGAAAACCCCUCUAGCCUUUCUCCUCCCCCAUAUCUCUUUUCUAAUGCAAAACAAUUUAGUUCUCUCCUUGCUCCAAAAUUAUAUCCUCCUUCCCUUUACCUCACUCAGCAAAACAAGGUUUCUCAUUAAGGCACAUCCUCCUUAGAAGGUUAUAGAGCCAGGAGGCCGAAUAUGCACAUACUGCAAGGAACUUCGUAUGGCAUUUAACAAAUAAG